rnacentral:lncRNA from 1 species
AAACGUCUUUAUUUUUAUGUUAAAAAAAAAUAGUUAACAUAACAAUUCAACAAUCAUCCAAAAUACCUUGUCUUUUUUUCAUAACUUAAUAUAAGAAGUUGAACGUUCAUCUCAAAGUAGUAUAUGAAACAUUUCAGAAAUAUAUUUCAAUAACCAAUCUUAUUAAUAUAAUUAUUAUAAAUGAGAUGAAUGUUUCUCAAGUAUAAAAUGAUCGGUGUAAAUGUAAUACAACAUAAUCAAAGCUUUAACGCUUCAGAUUACUAGAUGGAGGGGUGCAACAUGGGGCCUUCUUACAAACAUAUGGGUCACAUGGCCCUAAUGGUUCACAGCAAGGUGGUAAAUCUUGUAAGUGCACUGCAAGAGCACUUUUCAUACCAACAAGAAGCACCAAAAACAUCAUGAAAAUUUUCAAUAAAGAUUCCAUGAUAAUCUAAUUUUGAUUUCAAAGAAAUGAAAAACGGAUACUAAUAGUGAAUGAUAUGUUAAACAAAUGUGUACCAAUUUAUAGGUAAAAAAUAAUCUUCAGAAAAUACUUAAAUGUUAAUAAUGUACAAACUUUUUAUUUAUCAUUAUUAGCAUUGUUUUAUAUGUUGACUGACAACUAAUACUUUAUUUAUUUUUUGGACCUAAAACUAAAAGAAAUAAAUAUUAAAUAAUUUAUUAAUAUUUUAUGUUGACUGAAUAUUAUUAUUUAUUUUAGUAACUACUAAUAUUAAAUAGUGUGGUUUCAUAUUUUGAUAUAAUAAGUGUACCUCAUUGAAGUAGUAAUACUAUUAAAUAUUACAAGAAAUAAAGUAUCUAAUAUAAAUAACUACUUCAAAUCAAAAUGGCUUAAAUAGUCUUUUCGUUCUUAUAAGUUAGCGUGUUCUUUUUUUAGUCCCUAAAUUUUUUUGUGUAAAAAAUAUUCUCUAAAUUAGGGAUGCUCAAAUUAACCUGUUAUUCAAAUUAUCCAUAUCCAUAUUCAAAUUUGGUUAUUAAACACCGGUUAAUUAUUAGUAUAAUUUUAACCAAAUCGAUAUUUUGGAUAUGUUAUUAAUAUGAUUUUAACCAAAUCCAUUAUGUGUACAUCCAUAUCCACAAUAAAAAUCAAAUUAGUCUAUCUUUUUUUUAUAAAAAAAAUUACAAAAACACUUUUUAUUUCUUUUGAAAAUAAAAUAAAAAAAUAUUUAUUUUUUUAAUUUUGAAAAAAUAAUUUUUUUUUCUUCAUGAAAAAAAAAAAAUUUAAAAAAAAUAUAAAAAAGUUUUUUUUAAAAUAUUUUUUCAAAAAUAAAUUUUAUUUUUGAGAAUAAAUAUUUUUUCUUAAAAAAAAUGAUUUAAAUUUUCUUUUAAUAAAAAUCUAUUAUAAAUUGGUUAUGGAUAUAACCGGUUAAUGAUUGGCUUAUAACCAUUUUACAAAAAUGAUAUCGGCUUAUGACAAUUGGUUUUAAUAACUUGUUAUAAUAUAUGAAUUAUUCAUGGUUAUGGAUUGGUUAUGGAUUGGUUAUGGAAAUUAAUCGUCCAUGAGCAUCCCUACUCUGAAUGUAAAAUCUUUUUGGUGUUAGUCCUUAAAAUUAAAAACCAAAGGAAAAUCAAAAGGUUUUGUGCGGAAUUUCCUUCGAGUUUUUUUACAGAAUAAAAAUUUGCAAGUUUCCUACAGAUUUUUACUUUAGUGACUAAAACAAUUUGAAUAGACGCUUCCAAAGGACACUAGUAAUAUUAGUUUGUGCUCGUAUGUAAAGUACAGAGUCACUUUGAAGAUAAAGUUGUAUUUGUACACUCAUAAAAGUAUGCUUUAUAGAUAGAAUGACAAUUGUAAGUUCUAUUUUAAAAGAUGAAUUGAUUACGAUAUUUGCUAAGAAUGCACCUAAGUGCCAUGUAAUCCAAGUGAUUAAGGUAAUGACUACAAAAUAAUAUUAUUGAUUUUUUUACUUCAUCCUCAAUUAAUUAUGUUGUAUAGGCUCAUAAAGGUAGUAUAAUCAAUUUCAAGCAUAAUAAGGAUUCUAACCAUGUCCAAAAUUGCAAUGUGUGUCUGCAAUUUAAGAAGAGGCGGUGAGGAGUUUCCAAGGUUUUAGUAUGGAGGGAACAUUUACAAACAAAUGUAACUCUUCUAUUUCAAAGAUUAUCGUAUUUGGAAAACAAGUUAUGCACUAGUUUCCGAAAAGUCGGAUACUUUUCAGAUGCAAUGAAUUUUUUCCAUGUUUUUAGCCUAACUAACUUCUAUAUCAUCAGUAUUAUGGCAUGCAUACGCCUCUAUAAAUGUAAGAGUUACAUUGCUUUAGAUUUUCCAAAUUAUAUUGAUUGCAUCAAUUUCACAAUAAUGUAUAAUGAUUUUAUAAUAUAACUAGUUAUCUAGGAUACAGCGAAUAUGAUGAAAGUUCAUAUAAAUUGUUCCGUAAAUUAGUUCCUUGAGUUAGCUCUAGGGUAGUAGUAGUUUGCAGAUACUUAAUUUUUUAUGAAAGGGCAAUAGAGUAUUUGAUUUUACAACUUAACUAUAUAUCAUUCCAAAAACAAUUUUUUUUCCAUUCUCUAUUUACCACUUCAUAUGAUCUUCAAUAUCCUUCAAAGUAUUCUUUAAACCAACCCAUAUUUAGGAGCUUAUUUGAUCCUUAACAGGCUGUUAGUUCUUGAGGUGUCUGCUUCUAAGGGUAUUGGAUCUUUUUUGAUGGUUGUGAUCAUUUUCCAUCUAUGAGUGACUCGUCCUUUUUCAUUUAAGCUCUUGAUUUUUUGCAAACCAAGACCACCAAGAGAGAUAUGUGUGCAAAUUUCUCCCACGAGAAAAUGACAAGUAUUAUUGUGUCAGCAUUUCAUGUCCAUACAAAGUUUCAAAUGCAAGAAUCCAAUCUAUCCAAAAUGGACAUUACCCACUCAUAUGUUAUGACGUUAUAAACUUACAUUACAUGUGUCGCAUUACGCAAAAAACCGGCGGGAAACGAAAACAACAGAGCCGCCACCGUGCGUUAUUUAUCCCAAAAGAGGGAAAGGAAACGCUCAGAGUAAACCUGGAAAAAGCAUGGUCUCGCGACCAAAGAAAUGGAUCGCGAGUCGUAGUACAAGGGAAGUAUUACACCCAUAACCUCGGACCGCGGAUCCACGCACAAGAGGCGAAAGGUUUUGCUAAAACACGCUCAAAAUAACAAACAUUGCUGAAAAGACACAAAGGAAAAGCGACAGACCUGACUCGGCAGGAUAUCGUAUCCUGGGCCUACUUAGUCAAUCAAGCAUGAGACAUCAGAGUCAAAGUAGUUCGAACUGGGAAAACACAUGCUCCUAGGAUGCCGCAUCCUAUGCAUACGUAUCUCUUGGACGAAGAAGAUCAGAGCAUUCGUAGCUGCGGCAACACAGCGCAAACAAAACGCACACAAACACGCAAACAUGGAACCCGAAUGCCAAUCGCCGGACUCAUCAGCUUCCGAACCAAACACACCCACACUGGAACCCAAUGCCACUUGAUGGACUUAAUCAGCUUCCAAGCACAUAACAAGAGGAUACGGAAUGCCAAUCGCUGGCUUUACAUCCAUCUCCUAAACAACACAGAAAGAAGAAGGUCUCGAUUGCAACUAGGGCAAGAAAAGGGAAGGUCCUAAUCGCAACGAAGGGCGAGAGAAAGAAUUAGUGUUAGUCGUUAGCCAACCGACAAGACAUCGCAUCUCGUGCCCUACUAUCUCAUCUGGACAUGAGAUGCAGAGUUGCCGUAGUCGGCUAACACUAUUCCUGUUGGUUUUGUGUUUUAAGUGGAUAACGUCACUACGCAAUCUACCGGAUGCUCGACCUUUGGAGACUACUCACCUGUAGUAGAAGGAGUUGACGUACCUUAAGAGGGAUAAUUUGUUGUGUGUUUAAGGAAAGCUCAAGCAAGAAAGGAAGUCCUAUUACGGAAGGAACCGUCUACUUAAUUGACAUGCAAACAGACUACCGGAGUCUAGCAAACCUAGGGGAUACAAUCACACAACACAAACAUAUACAGCAUGAAGAAACACACCAACAAGGGGCUCAAACAUCAGGCUGAUGCUUAAGUCGAGUCAUGUCAACCUCACAAACAAGCCUCUGUAUCAAGGUGAGUGUUAUCUCUUAACCUUGACAUUGAGAGUCAAGGUGAAGCUAGAUGAAAGUGAGUGAAAGAUAGACUUCACAGCUCUUAUCCCGUCAGGAGACUUCAGACAAUGAAGUGUGGCCAGAAAGUGGAACCCUUCUACACUGUAAGACACUGACUCAACUGUACAACUGUUACAAAUCUUGGCUUAUCCAAUGCAUCAACACAGUGUUGAGCAGAGCGAUGACUCAACGAAUAGGCGAGAUAGAUGCAUAAUCUCUUUUAUCCGCCCAAUUGCCUUACAAAGGUCUUUUCCUGCUUGGGGACAAAAAAAACAAUCACAAACAUUGCCUCUUAAGGAGGACUCAGACAGGUGCCGGCCAAAUACAGCGCCAGGUCUUCCAGACUACAUGGAGAAAAGAGUGUUAUACAUCCUCAAAGAAAAUGCUAUCAAGCAAAGCAAGCAAUAUUAGCAACUAAUGUACCUGAAAUCACAUCAAAUACAAUCAGUAUACCAAUCACAAAGUAAAAAGACAACUUAUAACCACAGACAACACAAUCAAUCACAUGUCCAAAGACAAACUCAAAGCAAAUGAAUUAGCAUCCGACAAAAACAAACCAAGUUAGUCCAUGAUAAUCAAAUAAACCAAAAUCAAUCAACUUGAAAAUCUCCUUAAAGCAUUGCUUCUUAACCUGAAAAAACAAUCCAAUGUGAGAUAAGCACCUGGGACAAGCCUAGCGCAAAAGGAGGUGAAAAAUUCAACAACAGCAAGUUGAAAAUUGUGAUUAUAUCAAGAUAUCAAACACAGGAGUAGCAUCUAAUAUGGUCUCCAACUCAAACUAGCACCAAAACUCCAUUUUCAUAAGCUAAACAGUCAAACUAUCAUUUUGGAAUCAUAUGAGCAAACAGAAUGAUAACAAUGAAAACAGACACCAAUAUGCCUCAACUAAAUUCCCAUAAAUAUCAAGCUUAAAACAAACACAUAGCCACUGACCAACAUACCAGAACUUUCAAUGCUAUUUGACCACAGGGAGUAUAGAAAUAAACAACAAUAGAUCAUGGUAUGCAAAAACAACCUUCAACCAAUAGAUGCAAAAAUCAAUCUCAACUCUAGGCAAGUGUUAAACAGAAUGGCCAGAUGGAAAUGAAACCACACCAAAAGCAAGAAUGAAGUCAGCAGAUAAAUCAAUCCAUAAAGUUAUCAGCUCAUAUAUAAAGCAUGACGAAUCACAACGUCAUAAAGUGAACACUCCACAAAAGUUCAAAAUAUGACUAAACACAAAGAACAAUCCCAAUCAAAUAAAAGGAAUCCACCCAAUCGACUAAAAAUCAUAUCACACUAGACUACAGAAGCAAUUACAUGCAAAAAUUCAGAGCAAGCACAUAGCAUAGCAUGGAAACAAAUCAAAUAAUGACUGAAAAACCUAGUGUGACAACACAUUGUCCACAUCAUAGAAGGAUCACGUCAAUCUUCAAUCCAGAAAUGCAAAAUAGCAACAUAUAUCAAAACCUCACCAGAAUAGUCUAGAUCAUGCACUAUAAAAUUUCAGCAUUUGGACGCAAGCAUAUCAAGAUUCAUGAAUGAAAUGCAAAACAUCGGCAAAAAGCAUCAUGAUCAAAAGAUAUAACAAAAUAAAACCAUCCGUGCACAACUUUGUUAUCAGCUGCUCAUAAAAAACUAAUGAAAGGAGAUGGAUGCAAAAAUCCCACCAAUGGACUCCAAAAUUAUUCUAAUGAUCUUUUGAAGUUUGAAUGAAAAACAAUGAAAUAAAACACUUAACCAAAAUAAAAUAAAAAGCUAGCGUGCAUUUUGGUAUCAUGUACUUCACUAAUGAAACCUGCGUUCAUUAAGUGAUGUGUCACACGUGAGCAGCAAUGCGGGAAACAACAAUUGAACGCAAGCCACACAAGAUCAAACGCGAAAAUCUGGAACGAACAAGGAUGUUCACGCACGCGUGGUCUUGAUAUCAUCAAUCAUCAUGAACAAAUUCACAAAAGCUAUCCUGCCAAUACCAUCAAUCCAUCAUGCAGAACAUCAUCCCAGCAAGCAUAACCUAAAUCACUCAGCUAAACAGAUCGUAGCUAAAAAGUUCACAUCAACUAGUCAGAUCUCAAUACUUCACAUUACGUAAGAAAAUGACUAGAGUACAGUGUAACUAUUUCCAGAUCUAAACCUAACCACAUCACGCAUUUCACAUAUCGAAGGAUUUUGGAUUUUACCUCUAGAAGAACAGCUCGAAAUCGAGCUCUCUAGGCUCCAAUGGUAAAACAGAUACUAGAAUGCGAGUGAGAUAAUAAAGGAUAGUAGCUCAGAAAUGCUUCCGUGAUGGAGAAUCUCAAUCCAUGGAUCCAGGUGCAACAGUUAAUUCUCCAACAUUCUUCCAAUGCUAAGCUUCAAACAAUCGCUACAUCCACCUGUUAAUGCAAUCCAACACAAGGAAAGCAGAAAAAAGCGAUGAUCUUGAAACAAGUCAAAAAGUGGUGAGAAAAUUGUGAGAAAAUAGAAGCUUAGAAUUGUGAUUUUGAAUCUGAAUUGUGUAAUGUGGAGCCGAAUCAGUAUAUAAGCUUAUACCCUGUUAUCAGCUAUCUAUAAAAUACUUAAAACAAGACCAAAUGCCGAUAAAAAUAAAAGCUGUAGUAAUUGCACAAUGCCCUUUUAUGAUGGCAGCCAUGGAAACAGUGAAAUAUUGUGAAGCAAGUCACAAAUCAUUUAGAAGCUAUUCCAAUUGAUUGGCAUGAAAAUCCAUGAUUGAAAUCCACUAUUUUCCCAACUCAAAAUUUAAUUGGUUAACACGAAAAGACCUUUUAACUGUGAUGCUUUUUGAUGAUGUAAGGACCUCAUGAAAGUAUGUCAAAUGUGACUUGCUUCAAACAAAACACCGCAAUUUGCCACAGUUAUGACGUUAUGCCUUUUAAUUUCAAACUUUUCGAAAAUAUUUGAUCAUAACUUGCCAACCACACAUGAGAAAUGCCUGUUCUUGGACUUUUUGGAAAGGUGAGAACAAGAUCUUCAACUUUCAUGUUGGACAAAAUUCCAUUUGAAGCUUGUAUGAUGAAUUAAUUUUGAGGAGAAGAACUUUCCAUUUUUGACAGUUUCCAAUUACAGGUCACCUGCUAUUUUUGGAAACUUUUGAUCUGACUUUAUUUUCUUCAACCUUGAUCUUUGAAAUGUCAAAUGAGACUUGUAUGGACAUGAAUGAAGCCUUUCAAACCAACUCCCACCUUCAAAUCCUUGAUUUCUGGCACAGUUGACCACAGUUGACUUUCUAGGGUUUCUGAUGAAAUCCAGCUUGACUGUUGAGCUCUGAUCAUCCAAUCUUUGGCCAAACCACUUCAAAAUGAUCACAUAAUCAUAUGAACUUGAUAAACCAACCCUAGGGCUUUGUCUCAAUGGAAAUUGCACUUGCUUGCUUGAUUGACUGAUUCUCCUGAUCAGUUGACCUAAUCUGUCUGAAUGACUUGCACUUGGGCAAAAGGCAAUGCAAUGUUAUGCAAUGGACUAUGUCAUGUUAAUGGUCUAAUGAUGAAAAUGUAUGUACAAUGGGAGGUGCAAAUUCGAGGUGCUACAGCUGCCCCUAUUCAAUCAACUGGGAACCCGAACGGAUGAGAGCAACGACUGUCAGACUUUCAGGGUAAACAGGGAUUGAAUACCAAGAACCGUAGAAAUUUGCACAAUGCUGGGAUCCACCAACAGAAACGUCCAUUGGGAUCUGAUACUUAUUACUGGGAAUUUUGAUUUUUCUGGUUUUUCUCUCAAGGGUACAACCACCUCCAAACACCUCAAGACGAUGAAUGGGAACAGAAAUCACAACUAGAUGCCAACGGACAACUAGGAAAAACUCAACGUUUACCGAGACCAACGGGGAGGUAACCAGACAUUAAUGAAUGACUGGAAGAGAUACAACCAUACGUCAAUGGACGCAAUGGGAAAAACUCGACGUUUACCAAAACCAACGGAGAGGUAACUCUACUGGGGAAGAAAAUACAUCCAGUUGUCAACGGACAACUAGGAAAAACUCGACGUUUAUCGACACCAACGGAGAAGGAGAAAGCUCAACGUUUAUCGACACCAACGGAGAAGGAGAAAGCUCAACGUUUAUCGACACCAACGGAGAAGGAGAAAGCUCAACGUUUAUCGACACCAACGGAGAAGGAGAAAGCUCAACGUUUAUCGACACCAACGGAGAAGGAGAAAGCUCAACGUUUAUCGACACCAACGGAGAAGGAGAAAGCUCAACGUUUAUCGACACCAACGGAGAAGGAGAAAGCUCAACGUUUAUCGACACCAACGGAGAAGGAGAAAGCUCAACGUUUAUCGACACCAACGGAGAAGGAGAAAGCUCAACGUUUAUCGACACCAACGGAGAAGGAGAAAGCUCAACGUUUAUCGACACCAACGGAGAAGGAGAAAGCUCAACGUUUAUCGACACCAACGGAGAAGGAGAAAGCUCAACGUUUAUCGACACCAACGGAGAAGGAGAAAGCUCAACGUUUAUCGACACCAACGGAGAAGGAGAAAGCUCAACGUUUAUCGACACCAACGGAGAAGGAGAAAGCUCAACGUUUAUCGACACCAACGGAGAAGGAGAAAGCUCAACGUUUAUCGACACCAACGGAGAAGGAGAAAGCUCAACGUUUAUCGACACCAACGGAGAAGGAGAAAGCUCAACGUUUAUCGACACCAACGGAGAAGGAGAAAGCUCAACGUUUAUCGACACCAACGGAGAAGGAGAAAGCUCAACGUUUAUCGACACCAACGGAGAAGGAGAAAGCUCAACGUUUAUCGACACCAACGGAGAAGGAGAAAAACAUCAAAGGAUGUUGGGAAAGAGGUACAACUAGAUGUCAACGGACAACUAGGAAAAACUCGACGUUUAUCGACACCAACGGAGAGGAGGAAACUUCACUAAGGAAGGGAUAUAACAACCGAAAACCGAAUAGGACGUCACCGACGACUCUACUGGGGAUUCUGGCUGGGGGUCAACCAGACAUUAAUGAAUGGCUGGGGAAUAUGAUAUACAAUCAGACGUCAACGGACGAAUGAGAAAAACUCAACGUUUAUCAAAACCAACGGAGAGGUAGCUCUGCAUGGGGAAAGAUACAACUAGACGUCAUCGGACGAAUAGGAAAAACUCGGCGUUUAUCGAAACCAACGGAGAGGUAACUCUGGGGGGAAUCAACAACCAUUAAUGAAUGAUCUGUGGGGGACAAACAACUAUACGUCAUCGGACGCAUAGGAAAAACUCGGCGUUUAUCGAAACCAACGGAGAGGUAACUUUGUGGGGAUAAUGAACACAACCAACCGUCACUGGACGACCGGGAAAAACUCAAUGUUUAUCGACACCAACGGAGAGGAGACAACUUCUGGGGCAGGAGAAUGACGUUACGAACAUCGAAAGAUGAUGUUUACCGACAUCAAAAGAAGACCAGACACUACGCAUGACUGGGAAAGCACCGAAAGAUGGUGUUUACCGACACCAAAGAGAAACGUUACGAACAUCGAAAGAUGAUGUUUACCGACAUCAAAAGAAGACCAGACACUACGCAUGACUGGGAAAGCACCGAAAGAUGGUGUUUACCGACACCAAAGAGAUAACACACGCGGGUGCUAACAGGAUACUGACCAGUAUCACAGGACGACAUCUACACAUGUCAAAGCAAGGCUAAACACUUGCUGGGGAUCUCACUGGGGAGAAACAAACUUCCACGUCACCAACGGAUGAGGAAAUAAACCUCUCUGGGGGUAUCAAUCCUGAAUGCUGUCAGGAGCAACUAUAGCAAACGUGCUGUACAGAUGUUGCAUAAAAAUCCGCCUCUGCCAGGGAUACGGUCUGAUGGGUUUCGAACACAUGAAUGCAUAUGUUUGAAUUUUUCUAUGGCGUAAUGCUCCAUUAUGAAUGGAAAUGCUACGCAUUUUUGAGGAUGCAAUGAUCACUAUAUGCAAAAUGCAAAAUGAUGAACGCUCCGGCUGGGGAGCCAAAACCAUCAGAUACUCCAGCUCUGUGGGGAGACUCUGCUUGAGGAAAACUCUGCGGGGAGAGCACCGACUUCUCACUCAUGCUGGAGAAACAAAACUGUUGCUGGGGAAAGGAUAGACUCCACUGGGAACAUCCUCCAAAGGGCCCAAUCCACUCAGGGACUCCGCUUGGGGAAGCAAUCAAUAUAACUCUGUUGAGGACUACCCAAAGCGACUGCGCUGAGGAACCAUCAAUACUCCACUGGGGAAGACAAAGCAAAUCUCUGGUGAAACAAUGAAACUACUCGCCGGGGAGUAACAAGAAGAACUUGCUAGGGAUAAUUAGGCGACUUCACCGGGGAGAGCCAACCAAUCCACAAAUGAGAUAAACUCUGUUAUGGGGAAUAAACGCUACUUCGCUGGGGACGACACAUCUAAUCCCUAAGUAGGAUAGACUCAGCUGGGGAUGCAGACAUCACUUCGCUACGAAAAACUCAUCCAAUCCACAGGUAGGAUAACUGCUGGAGAUAAAUUUCUUUGAACCCGCUCCACUCGGGGACUAGCUAGGGAAAAUCAAUCAACACAAAUCUCUACUCGGGAGAUCUGCUAGGGAAAGCAACUCUGUUGGGGAAUAAAUGCUACUUCGCUGAGGAAGAGAAUAACUCUGGUGGAGAACGCAAAUAUACCAGACUCUGUGCUGGGGAGAAACAUCCAUAACUCUGUUGGGGAUGAGCGCUCACGACCACACUGGGGACAACAGUACUACAAAAAUCUGACUGCUGGGGAACAACACUCCACUGAUAACCCCGCUGGGGAUACAACAUCCUUCCAACUCAGCGGGGAACUCUCCUGGGGAAAUAUUCGCUGGGGAAUAAACCCACUUCCAUGCCUGCUGAGGAUAGGCAACCCUUAGAUCUGCUGGGAGAGAAGGCAUCAUCCACAGACAUCUCUGCAGGGGAACAAUUGCUCUGACAGCUUCCAAACUCAUUUGGGAAAUAUCUGCUGAGAAACGUCUUCACAGAUGACAACCUGCAAAACAGCACAACAAACUGCCCCCAGGGGAGACAUGGACAAGAUACGCUCAAGUGUCCUCAACAUUCAAGAUGAUUUUCAAAUGUUUUAUCUUCCUGCAAGUUAUUGUUUAGCCUUCAUGUUUUUAUAUGCAAUGUUUAUCAAAAAUUCGGACGUUGUUUGCAAACAAAACAGUAAAAAUAAAACAAGAGAGCUAUUUAUCUGAAUAACGACUUUUAUUGAUUGAAAAAUGUGCCUGAAAAGGCGAAUACAUCGGGAAGCAAUUCCUAGAAAGAGGUAAUUGCGCACAAAAGGAAAAAAUCUAUCCUAAUGGCAAUGUGAACACGACAUCCACUAUUUCCCAAUUCUGUUAUAACUCACAGAUCAUCAGUUUUCCUCCCAACUUCCUUGCUUUCUGAGAAGAAUGACUGGACCGAUCGCAUCUUUGGAGAUGGCAGACGACGAAGCGCGGUGAAGUACAGAUAACUCAAACUGUAGCCUUCGCUUUAAUCCCUCUUUUGGCUGGAUCGCCCUUUCGGGUUUUCAAUCCACCGGGAUACCCAUUUUUGCCUAAGCCGCCCUUGCGGGUUUUCGACUUACCGGGUGUACAAGUUCUUUUCAUUUUUAUCCCUAAUUUUUGCCCGAACCUUUUCUUUCUGUUUUUUUGUUCGCCGGGAUGCCCUUUUUUGCCUGGACUCUUUUAUUCUUUUUGUCCAGCGGGUCAAUUUAUGCGAAGUAUUUUUUGACUACAUCUGAGUUAACAGGGGACGGAAAAUCUUCACCAUCCAUAGUUGUAAGCAUCAAGGCUCCACCGGAGAAGACCUUUUUCACAACAUAUGGACCUUCAUAAUUAGGAGUCCACUUGCCCCUGUUAUCUGUACCGGGAGGAAGGAUCCUCUUCAAAACUAGAUCACCGAUCUGAUAGCUUCGAGGACGCACUUUCUGAUCAAAGGCUCGCUUCAUCCUUCGCUGAUACAACUGUCCAUGGCAUACAGCUGCUAGCCGUCUCUCCUCGAUAAGGCUCAACUCGUUAAACCUUGUUCGAAUCCACUCGGCUUCGUCCAGCUUGACAUCCAAUAAAACUCUCAGAGAAGGAAUCUCCACUUCAACAGGUAGGACAGCUUCCAUACCAUACACAAGGGAGUAAGGGGUUGCCCCGGUCGACGUACGUACUGAGGUACGGUACCCAUGCAAAGCGAAAGGCAGCAUCUCAUGCCAAUCCUUGUACGUAACGACCAUCUUCUGCACAAUCUUCUUGAUAUUCUUGUUCGCCGCUUCUACAGCACCAUUCAUCUUCGGUCUGUAAGGAGAAGAAUUGUGAUGUUCAAUCUUGAAAUCUUUACAAAGCUCUUUCAUCAUCUUGUUAUUGAGAUUCGAACCAUUGUCAGUGAUGAUUCUCUCAGGAACUCCAUAACGACAGAUGAUUUCUUUCUUGAUGAACCGGGCAACCACUUGUUUGGUAACGUUGGCAUAGGAAGCUGCUUCCACCCAUUUGGUGAAGUAAUCAAUCGCAACCAAGAUGAAGCGAUGUCCAUUCGAAGCAGUAGGCUCAAUCUUCCCAAUCAUAUCAAUGCCCCACAUGGCAAACGGCCAAGGCGAAUUCAUGACAUUCAGAGGGCUUGGUGGUACAUGCACCUUAUCAGCAUAAAUUUGACACUUAUGGCACUUCCGAGCAUACUUGAAACAAUCGGAUUCCAUAGUCAUCCAGUAAUAACCCGCUCUCAACAAUUUCUUAGCCAUUGCAUGUCCGCCGGCAUGAGUACCGAAGGAACCUUCAUGAACUUCCUGCAUUAACAUGUCCGCCUCGGGUCUGUCCACGCAUCUGAGCAAGACCAUGUCAAAGUUUCUCUUAUACAACACAUCAUCCUGAUUCAAAUAGAAGCUUCCAGCUAGCCUUCUCAGGGUUUUCUUGUCAUUCUUCGACGCACCUUCAGGAUACUCCUGAGUCUUGAGGAAGUUCUUGAUGUCAUAAUACCACGGCUUCUCAUCAAUCACAACAGACUCGGCUGCAAACACAUACGCAGGCCUCUCGAGUCGAUUCACCGCAACAUGUGGCACAUGAUUCCACCAAUGAACUUUGAUCAUAGACGAUAAAGUAGCCAAGGCAUCAGCCAUCUGAUUCUCAUCCCGGGGGACAUGAUACAACUUCACCUUCUUGAAGAACGUCAGUAUUCUUCUGGUAUAAUCUCUAUACGGAAUCAAAUGCGGCUGGUUCGUAUUCCAAUCUCCAUUGACCUGAUUGAUCACUAGAGCGGAAUCUCCAAAAAUGUCAAGCGUUUUGAUCCUCAGAUCAAUGGCUUCUUCUAUCCCCAUGAUACAAACCUCAUACUCAGCUUCGUUGUUGGUGACAUCAAAAGUCAAUCUGGCAGAAAAGGGUAUAUGAGCACCUUUCGGAUUGAUAAGCACUGCACCAACACCGUUACCAUUCACAUUCACAGCCCCAUCGAACAUCAGUGUCCACUUGUCAUCAGGAUCCGGUCCUUCCUCGACAAGAGGCUCUUCGCAAUCUUUCAUCUUAAGAUACAUGAUGUCUUCAUCAGGGAAUUCAAACAUCAUAGGCUGAUAGUCGUCGAUCGGUAGCUCGGCGAGAUAGUCUGACAAAACACUACCUUUGAUAGCUUUCUGCGACGUGUACUGAAUAUCAUACUCUGUUAAGAUCAUCUGCCAACGGGCAACACGUCUGGUGAGAAUCGGCUUCUCAAAGAUGUAUUUCACUGGAUCCAUCUUAGAAAUCAACAAGGUAGUAUGGUUCAACAUAUACUGCCUCAAUCGGCGAGCAGCCCAGGCCAAAGCACAACAAGUUUUCUCGAGCUGCGAAUAUUUGAUUUCACAGUCGGUAAACUUUUUGAUAAGGUAGUAUAUGGCAUGCUCUUUUCGACCAGACUCGUCAUGCUGACCCAAUACACAUCCCAUCGAAUUCUCGGUCACUGACAGGUACAUUAUCAAUGGUCUCCCUGGAACUGGAGGAAUCAGGAUUGGAGGUUUCUGUAAAUACUCUUUUAUCUUGUCAAAAGCUUUCUGACAGUCAUCAUUCCACCUGAUUGCUUGAUUCUUUCUUAGCAAUUUGAAUAUAGGUUCACACGUGGCAGUUAGGUGAGAUACAAACCUUGCAAUGUAGUUCAAUCUCCCUAAGAACCCACGAACCUGCUUUUCUGUUUUCGGUUCAGGCAUUUCUUGAAUAGCUUUGACUUUUGCUGGAUCAACCUCAAUCCCUUUCUCACUGACAAUGAAGCCUAACAGCUUCCCUGAUCUCACGCCAAACGUACACUUGUUUAGAUUCAGCCUCAGUUUGAAUUUGACCAAUCUGUCAAACAACUUCUGCAAAUUAACCAGGUGCUCCUCUUCUGUCUGCGACUUCGCAAUCAUAUCAUCCACGUACACUUCAAUCUCUUUGUGCAUCAUGUCAUGAAAGAGAGUCGUCAUAGCCCUCUGAUAGGUAGCACCGGCAUUCUUCAGCCCAAAUGGCAUCACCUUAUAGCAGAACGUGCCCCAAGGUGUAAUGAAUGUCGUCUUUUCCAUGUCCUCUGGCGCCAUCUUAAUCUGAUUAUAGCCUGAGAAACCGUCCAUGAAAGAGAAUACCGAGGAUUGAGCCGUAUUAUCCACCAAUACAUCGAUGUGAGGUAAUGGGAAAUCGUCUUUCGGACUCGCUCUAUUCAGAUCCCGGUAAUCGACACACAUUCUGACUUUGCCAUCUUUCUUCGGCACGGGAACGAUGUUGGCCACCCACGGUGGAUAAGUUGUCACCGACAAGAAACCCGCAUCGAACUGCUUCUGAACCUCUUCCUUGAUUUUCACUGCCAUAUCAGGACUCGUUCUACGAAGCUUCUGCUUGACCAAAGGACAAUCAUCUCUGAGAGGUAGUCUAUGAACCACAAUAUCAGUAUUCAGCUUAGGCAUAUCUUGAUAAGACCAGGCGAAUAUCUCUACAUACUCUCUUAGCAUCUCAAUCAACCUGCUCUUGACCUCUGUCUUCAAAGCGGCCCCGAUCUUGAUAUCCCUUCUGGCGUCCUCAGUACCAAGAUUCACAAUCUCCAACUCUUCCUGAUGAGGUUGGAUGACCCUCUCCUCUUGCUUCAACAAUCUAGCCAAUUCUUUCGGGAGCUCACAGUCUUCCUCACUCUCCUCUUCAGCUUGGUAGAUGGGAUUGUCGAAAUCAUACUGAGCCAUAACAGAACUGUUCAUAGUAGAUGUCGUGAUAUCACUUCUGCAUGUUUAAUGCUUUAUUUUAGAAAAAGAUUUCAAUAAAGUCACAAAAACGAAAACAUUGCCAUUUUUUAUUUUUGAAAAAUGAAAGCAAAAAUAGAAAGACAGGGAUCACAAAAUUGUUUGCAAAACGUCCUUUAUUCAUGAUAAAAAUUGUAAAACAUGAUGUGGUUCUACAAUGAACCACUACGUCUUGGGCAGAACGUAGGGUUUUGUGCAGAAUGGAAAAACAAAAGAAAAUUACUCUGUUUGAAGAGUAACUUGGACUAUAUCCGUUGCAGUCCAAUUGCUGAUCACCUCCCCUGGUGCACUCGGGCGAACCCAGCAGUCGAGAUCAAUAUCACUGUCACUAUCUUCAACAUCAGCUGCAAAGACGUCACCGUGAUUCAUCAGCCCAACGCUGGUAAAGGUGCUCGGACCCGUCGACACUCCCUGCUCUGCUUGGAGAGGCUCAUAACCAAUGCCAAAUUUAUCUUCCUUAAUCGGCAAAUCCACCAUCUUGCCCCAGCCCUCAGCUCUACCGGAGUCAACAACCGCUUUGGCCUGCUUGUACGAAGCGAUCGAAGCGCCUGGCUUCCUCUGGUCAGCACACGCCACACCCUCGAGAGCAACAGUCUCAAAUGCCUGGCAUAAAGUUUCGUGGAUCUCGCCAUCCACCUCGACAUACUUGAACGAGGACAGAUGACAGCCACACCCUCGAGAGCAACAGUCUCAAAUGCCUGGCAUAAAGUUUCGUGGAUCUCGCCAUCCACCUCGACAUACUUGAACGAGGACAGAUGACUCACCAAAAUAUCCUCUUCACCGCACACGGUCACAAUCUGACCGUUCCAGACAUACUUUAACUUUUGGUGGAGAGUUGACGAGACUGCCCCUGCUGCAUGGAUCCAUGGACGCCCUAACAAGCAACUGUAGGCGGGUUGGAUGUCCAUGACGUAGAAGAUGAUGUCGAAAGUCUCAGGACCUAUCUUCACAGGCAGUGUAACUUCACCAAAGACAGAACACUUGGAUCCAUCAAAUGCCCUCACAAUCAGGUCACUAGGAGUAAGCACAACCCCUUCAACAGAUAUCUUCUUCAAGAUUUGCUUCGGCAGCACAUUCAGAGAAGACCCGGUGUCAACUAGCACAUGCGACAAAACAGCCCCCUUGCACUCCAUGGUGAUGUGCAAGGCCUUGUUAUGGUUACGCCCCUCCGGUGUCAAAUCAAGAUCAGUGAACCCCAAACCGUGUCUGGUGCUCACAUUAGCAAUUACACCCUCUAGGUGGUUGACUAAAAUCUCCUGAGGUACAUACGCCAUAUUCAACAUUUUCAGCAAGGCGUUGCGAUGUGCCUCAGAGCACAGCAGCAAGGAAAGAAUAGAGAUUUUGGACGGAGUUUGGUUGAGUUGAUCCACAAUCUUGUAAUCACUCUUCUUAAUUAUUCGCAUGAACUCCUCCACGUCCUUUUCAAACGAGCCACCAGGCACAUUCGUUUGAGCAGGCUCCUCGUCCCCCACGGCCUGUUUGCCCUUUGCUCUAGCAGAUGCCUCAGCAUUAGCAUCCCUCGACGGUUGAGGCGCAAACAGCCGACCACUCCUAGUAAACCCUCCCGGACCACCAACAUUGUCCACAACGGGACUCACAACGGCCGGAGUUCUACUAACUGGCACACCAAUAGUCACAGGCGCUUGAUUUGACGGCCUGACACGAUUUUCAACCCUUCGAUUACUUUUGUAGGCGUUGUCAUACUUCCAGGGCACAACCUUACUAUUCUCAACCACAGGUUUUCUACCUGAUACAGCAAUAGUAGUUGGGGUAUUGACAGAAACUGGUGCAGAGAUGGUAACUGGAUUACCACUAGUUGUAGGUGCACUACCAGCAGUCCUCGACCCACGUCCUUCAGACGGUUUAAAAAAAUAGUGACAGUAGACACUGCCCCAUGAUCUCUGUUAUCAACCCGGCCAAACUGGACACAGCCCUCCUCUAUCAACUUCUGAAUACCGGCCCGCAAUUGUUCACAACCAUUGUCUGACUCUGCACAGCCCAUACAAUCUUCAUCACAGCCCGGAUGCACACCACCACUCAACAAACGGCCAUUCACUACCAGCAGAGAGGUCUGAAUCUCAUCAACAUUGACGACCAUAUCUUCAGAUUCGGCCCCUUCAACACAGUUUACCCUGUGAGCACCAUGCGCAAGCAUAGGGUUAUUCACAACAUUUGGUACAGGAGCAAAAUUGAUAGUCUUGGCAUCAAUCAAGUCCUGGACUUUAUGGUGGAAAGCCCUGCAGUUCUCGAUAUGGUGUCCCGGCGCACCAGAAUGAAAGUCACAACGCACAUUGGCAUCAUACCCAGGUGGUAUUUUUGUCAACGGCGCCAUGGUCCUCAACUCGACAAACCCUAGCCUGAGCAACUCUGGCAGUAACUCAGCAUAAGUCAUGGGCAGUGGGUCGAAACGUCUAUCAGGCAUUCUCUGCCUUGGCUGAUACGGACGUUGUUGUUGUUGUUGUUGUUGUUGUGGCAUCUGUUGUUGAACCCUUUGUUGUUGCAGAGGUUGACGUUGUUGAGGUGCAGGGAUGGUUACUGCGGCAACCUGACGGUGCUGAUUUCUGUUCUGACCCCGACGGUGUUGAACAACAUUAGUUUCACCUUCUCUACGGCGAGGUGCCCCAGAGAAAGGUUUCUUAGAUGAAGAGGAACCAGCAUCAUUGAUCUUUCCGGCCUUGAUCAAACUCUCAUCCUUUCACCACAAAUGACCACAUCAGAAAAGCUUCCAAAUGGGCAACUCCCCAUUCGGUCCAUAAACACUCCCUGAAGUGUGCCAAUGAACAUGUCUGUCAACUCCCUUUCCAGCAUAGGGGGUUGAACUCUAGCAGCAAGUUCACGCCACCUCUGGGCGUACUCUUUGAAGCUUUCAUUGUUUUUCUGACACAGACUCUGCAACUGAGUCCGGCUCGGUGCCAUAUCCAUGUUGUGCUUAUAUUGCCUUAAGAAGGCUUCACCCAGAUCCCUCCAGCAUCGGAUAGAAUCCCUCUUCAACUCCAUGUACCAGUCCAAAGAUUCCCCAGAUAGACUAUCUUGGAAAAAGUACAUCCACAUUUUUCGUCAUCAGUAUACGCAAAGAUCUUCCGGUAAUAUGCCUGCACGUGAGUGCGAGGGCAAGAAGUACCAUUGUACUUGUCAAAAGUGGGUGCUUUGAACUUAUGGGGAAUUCUCAAGCCUUCAACCAAUCCCAAGUUAGUAACAUCAAAACCGAGGGAGUUCUGACAUUCCAUAGCGCGAAUCUUCUCAGCCAGGGCAUCGACCUUACGAUCCCUAUCUUCAACCCUUCCAACAUCUCCAUCAUCUUCACUCAGCAAUGUAAACAUGUCCUCUUGUCGGUCGACAAUAGGAGCUGGAUGACGAACCGGAGCCCGGGUAGCUCUGACGUUGACAGUCUCUGCAGCAAGAGGCUGUCCAAUAAUCCUUAUGCCCCUGAGUUCAUCCCCCACAGCAUAGUCAUGAACGGGAGCAGCAACAACAUUCUCUGGCACAGGAAUACCAGCAGGUGAACCACGGUUAGACGCCUGAAUAACCGUCUCUUGUCUCUGAACCAAAGCUCGGAGCUCCUCCUGACCCUGAGCAACCCCUUGCAUCAUAGUCAUGAACUGGGCCAUGUUCGCCUCGAUACUCAGCCAAGCGUCGUUGCUGAACGCUGAUCGCAUACUUCGGCUGUUGAUUUGAGUCUGGUAGAAUACCGGUGCGGUCUUCGAUCAGCUAUCCUGCCUGACACAGGAACCGGAGUGAGAAGUCGGGAACGAGAACACCUGUUAUGCAAGAUGAUAUGUGUAUGAUGUGCGUGAUGUGUAUGCAAGUUAACUUUUUUCAUGCAUCAUUAUACAUAUUUUUUUUUUUGAAAAUAAACAUGCUAUGAUGCAAAUGAGGGAGCCAAGACUGGUCGGCUGAGUAUCACGCGGCACAGGAUCGAAGUUUCGGCUUGAACUUGGAACCACGAAUUCAUCUGAAACCCAAAGUCAUCUGAACCCAAGUCAACUGAACCAUAUCCACAUCUGAGCAUCCUUGAAUUCAGCCCAGGGAUCCGAAAUAAACGGAACCCUCCAAUCAAUACCAGAAUCAAACCUCCGACGUCCAGAAAUAGAUCCAUAAAUCCGACUCAUAAAUAGGACUCUGAUCAACCAAUAGUCACCAACAAAGUCACCAUCAGAACAUGCAUCUGUAAGAAUCAACCCUCCCCUCACAGGUAAAUUCUAAUCAGGUCAUCCUAAGGCGGACAAUGAUCUCGACAAUCAGGCAAAGAUACUCAACGGGUUUGCCCUUUCGGGUGUGCCGUUGUAGCUCUCUUAAGAUCGUCUCAAUCAAAGAUCCGGGAAAGAACGGUCACCGAAGUCAACAGCUCAAAAGAGAUAAAACUCAACCAUAGUGGAAACUCCACAAGGAAGAGCCCUCUCAGAAGAACCUCGUCCGGCUUGUGGUAUGUCACGUCACAACAAUCAUGUCAACCCAACAUGUGAGGAACGUGAGACCACACUAAUCCUAGGUGUAUACUCGGGCCUGGGUUUUAGCCCCGCUCAGAACACCCACCCCAAACAGAAGAACCACUUGUACAGGAGACAGCUCAAUGACAGUAUGAUGCAUGCAAACAGAUAUGCACAUAUAUACAACAUAAUAAUCAUACAUGCAAUAAAUAACAGCAAAUAGCAACCAAAACCCUAUCCUAGAGAGCGCUAGGAGAGACUCGCUUAGGGAAGAUGGACCAGCAAGAGGUCAACUUCUUCUUGAGUCCCCAGCAGAGUCGCCAGCUGUCGCAUUACGCGAAAAACCGGAGGGAAACGAAAACAACAGAGCCGCCACCGUGCGUUAUUUAUCCCAAAAGAGGGAAAGGAAACGCUCAGAGUAAACCUGGAAAAAGCAUGGUCUCGCGACCAAAGAGAAUGGGAUCGGGAGUCGGUUAUGCGAAGGGAAGGUAUUAGCACCCCUACGCAUCCGUCGUACUCGACGGGAUCCACGCACAANNNNNNNNNNNNNNNNNNNNNNNNNNNNNNNNNNNNNNNNNNNNNNNNNNNNNNNNNNNNNNNNNNNNNNNNNNNNNNNNNNNNNNNNNNNNNNNNNNNNNNNNNNNNNNNNNNNNNNNNNNNNNNNNNNNNNNNNNNNNNNNNNNNNNNNNNNNNNNNNNNNNNNNNNNNNNNNNNNNNNNNNNNNNNNNNNNNNNNNNNNNNNNNNNNNNNNNNNNNNNNNNNNNNNNNNNNNNNNNNNNNNNNNNNNNNNNNNNNNNNNNNNNNNNNNNNNNNNNNNNNNNNNNNNNNNNNNNNNNNNNNNNNNNNNNNNNNNNNNNNNNNNNNNNNNNNNNNNNNNNNNNNNNNNNNNNNNNNNNNNNNNNNNNNNNNNNNNNNNNNNNNNNNNNNNNNNNNNNNNNNNNNNNNNNNNNNNNNNNNNNNNNNNNNNNNNNNNNNNNNNNNNNNNNNNNNNNNNNNNNNNNNNNNNNNNNNNNNNNNNNNNNNNNNNNNNNNNNNNNNNNNNNNNNNNNNNNNNNNNNNNNNNNNNNNNNNNNNNNNNNNNNNNNNNNNNNNNNNNNNNNNNNNNNNNNNNNNNNNNNNNNNNNNNNNNNNNNNNNNNNNNNNNNNNNNNNNNNNNNNNNNNNNNNNNNNNNNNNNNNNNNNNNNNNNNNNNNNNNNNNNNNACGUCACUACGCAAUCUACCGGAUGCUCGACCUUUGGAGACUUACUCACCUGUAGUAGAAGGAGUUGACGUAUCCUUAAGAGGGGACAAUGUUUGUUUGUGUUUUAGGAAAGCUCAAGCAAGAAAGGAAGUCCUAUACGAAGGAACCGUGCUACCUUAAUUGACAUGCAAACGAGACUACGCGGAGUCUAGCAAACCUAGGGGAUACAAUCACACAACACAAACAUAUACAGCAUGAAGUAAACACACCAACAAGGGGCUCAAACAUCAAGGCUAUGCUUUAGUCGAGGGGUCAUGUCAACCUCAACAAACAAGCCUCUGUAUCAAGGUGAGGUUAGCUCUUAACCUUGACAUUGAGAGUCAAGGUGAAGCUAGAUGAAAGGUGAGUGAAGAUUAGACUUCACAGCUCUUAUCCCUGGUCAGGGAGAGCUUCAGACAAUGAAGUGUGGGUCCAGAAAGUGGGAACCCUUCUACACUUAAGACACUGACUCAACUGUACAACUGUACAAGAUCUUGGGCUAGUAUCCCAAUGCAUCAACACAGUGGUGUGAGCAGAGGGAUGACUCAACAGAAUAGCGGGAGAUAGAUUGCAUAUCUCUUUUAUCCGCCAAUUGCCUUAUCAAAGGUCUUUUCCUGCUUGGGGACAAAAAUAAACAAUCACAAACAUUGCCUCUUAAGGAGGACUUCAGACAGGUGCCUGGCCAAGUAACAGGCCAGGUCUUCCAGACUACAUGGAGAAAAGAGUGUUAUACCUCAAAGCAAAUGCUAUCAAGCAAAGCAAAGCAAUAUUAGCAACUAAUGUACCUGAAAUCAAUCAAAUACAAUCAGUAUACCAAUCACAAAGUCAAAACAGACAAGUUAUGAACCAACAGACAACACAAUCAAUCACAUGUGCAAAGCACAAACUCAAAGCAAAUGAGUUAGCAUCCUACAAAACAAACCAAGUUAGUUCAUGAUAAUCAAAUAAACCAAAAUCAAUCAACUUGAAUUAAUCUCCUUAAAGCAUUUGCUUCUUUAACCUGAAAAAACAACUCAAAUGUGAGAAGUAAGACCACUAGGACAAGCCUAGGGUCAAAAGGAGGUGAAAAAUUCAAAACAGCAAGUGAAAAUUGAUUAAAAUCAAGAUUUAUCAAACAAGAGUAGAAUCUAAUUGGUCUCACAUCAAAACUAUGCACCAAAUCCAUUUCAUAAGCUAAACAUGUCAAACUAUGCAUUUUGGAAUCAUAUUGGAGCAAACAGAAUGAUCACAAUAAAACCAAUACCAAAAUAGCUCAAUAAAUUCCCAUAAAAUUCAAGCUUAAACAGAACACAUUCAAUGAGCAACAUACCAAAUUUCAUGCUAUUUGGACCAGAGGAGGUAUAGAAAUAAAAUCAACAAAUCAUGGUAUGCAAAAACAAACCCAACCAAAGCAUCAAAUCAAUCUUCAACUUUAGGCAAGUGUAAAACAGAAUUGGCAUGAGGUAAAUGAACCACACCAAAGCCAAAAUGAAGUCAAGCAUGUUAAGAAUCAAUCCAUAAAGUUUCAGCUUCAUAUGAUAAGGCAUGAGAAAUUCAACUUUAGGCAAGUGUAAAACAGAAUUGGCAUGAGGUAAAUGAACCACACCAAAGCCAAAAUGAAGUCAAGCAUGUUAAGAAUCAAUCCAUAAAGUUUCAGCUUCAUAUGAUAAGGCAUGAGAAUUUCACAAGUCAUGAAAGUUGAACACUCCACAAAAGUUCAAAAAUGACUAAACAGCAAAGAACAAUCCCAAUCAAAUAGGAAAUGAAUCUAAAAAAUCUACAAAAAAUCAUGCUCACACUAGACCUACAGAAGCAAUUACAUGCAAAAAUUCAGAGCAAUUGGCAUAGCAUAAGCAUGGAAACAAAAUUCAAGAAAUUGGACAAAACCUAGUGUGACAUACAUUGUCACACUCAUGAAGAUCACAUCAUAUCUCUCAAUCCAGAAAUGCAAAAUUAGCAAACCAUAUAUCAAAAUCACCAGGAAUGAGUCUAGAUCAUGCAUAUAAAAUUUCAAGCAUUUUGGAGCAAGCAUCAAGAUUUCAUGAAUGAAAUGGCAAAACAUAGGCAAAAAGCAUACAUGAUCAAAGAUAUUAGACCAAAAUAAAAACCAUCCGUGCACAACUUGUGUUAUCAUGCUCAUANCCUCUGCGCGCCAAAAACUAAAAAGCAAUAUAGGCGGAUACGAACCGGAGCCCGGGUAAUCUAAUCUGACUACCAGUACACGCAGCAGAAGUGAAUAGGGAGUCGCAACCAAUAAUCCUAUGCCCCUGAGUUCAACCCCCACAGCAAUAGCAUGAACGGAGCAGCAACAACACCGGCACAGCGAUACCACAGGAACCACACGGUUAGACGCCUGAAUAACCGUGCUGUCUCGAACCAAAGCCGAGCCCUCCGACCCUGAGCAACCCCUCAUCAUAGUCAGAACUAGGCCAUGUUCGCGUCCUCAUCUCAGCCAACCGGUCGAACCUGCCAUACUCGCAUGUGAUUUGGCUGGUAAAUACCGUGGCGGCUCCGAUCAGCUAUCCUCCUGCCUGACGACAGAAGAACCAAAGGAGUAGAUAGUCGGGAACGGAACACCUGUAUGCAAGAGAAUGUUGCCGUAUGACUGCGUGAAGGUAGCAAGGUAACUUUUCAGUGGCAUCAUUUAACAAAUUUUUUUUGCAUAACCAUACAUACAGCUAUGGAAAGGAAAGCAAAUGAGGGAGUGGAAUGUGAGUAUCCAUGACGGUGCACGAUUUGGAAUACUAAAAAAAAGAGUAACACUGCGGCAGAAACAUAGAUCCGAAGUUCGGCUAAAACUGGAACCAACCAAUGCACUAAACCGUUCAAAUCAACUAAACGGAACCCAAGCAGAACGAACCAAAUCCACAGAACGAGCAUCUAAAUCAAGCCCAGGACCGAAAUAAACGACCCUCCAACAAACAAACCAACCAACUCCGACGCGUCCAGAAAAGAUCCAUAAAUCGCGACCAUAAAUAGACUCAUCAAGCCAAAAUAUAACACCUCAAACCAAAACGUCACCAUCCCUAAAAUUCUGCAUUUUAGCAAACAGCAUCUUAAAAAAUUGAGAUACUGCCCGCCCUUUCACAGUAAAUUCUAAUCAGGUCUCCUAAGUCCUGCCGGUACAACGAAUACACCAACAAAUUAGUACAACAGCACGCAAAAGAUACUCGACGGUUGUCCCGAUUCAGGUGGCCGUGUUACUCUCUAUAAGACGUCCUCAAUCAAAGAUCGGGAAAGCACGUCACCGAAGUCAACACUCCAAAAAAUAAAACUCAACCAUAUGAACCCACAAGGAGAGCCCCUCUUCAGAGAUGCCGGAUGACGUCCGCUGUGGAAGCCACGUCACAUGAAAACUAAUCAGUCAACCCAACAUGUGACGGUGAAGACCGCGACACGAAUCUCUAGGACUGCAACUUUCGGCCUAAGGAACCCCCGCUCAGCAACACCGUUAACUACCCACAAACAAAGACCACUUGACAGAGAGCCAAACUCAAUUGACUAGUAUAAACGCAAACAAUAUGUCACAUAUAUACAACAAAACAUACAGCUAUACUUAUAUCUAACCAAGCAAAAGGCAACGAAAUAACUACUCCAAGAAGCCAAGCUAGAAGACAAACGUUCAGGAAGAUGGACCCAACAGUUCAAUAGUCUAACCUUCUUCAUUGAAAAUCCCCACAGAGUCCUCCAGCUGUCCUAGCAUUGAACUGUUAAUGUAACCGGCCAGGGAAAUCAGAAAACAAAACCGAAGCCCGGCCUACGAAGGUGAACUGUGAGUUCGACCGGCGAAAUGUAUUAUGCCCAUAUAAUGAGGAAAGGGUAUAAUACGAGCUUUUUUCAGCACUAUAAUCUGUUAUACAAAGCAUGAGUGUAACUAAUCUCUUUUUCCGACACACCAAAAAUAAGAGAAGGGAUUCGGGAGUCCGGGUUAUGCGAGAGGGAGAUACACCCUACGCAUCCCGUACCAACGACGGAACAGUGCUCCACAACCACGAAAUAGUAGAGGAAACAAUUGGUCUCUCCAAAACCGAAAACCAGCCCCCACAAACAGAACACUAGCUUUAAAGAAGACAGCAAUAUUCUUCCCGACAACAACAAAACUUAGACCGGCAGAAUCGAUCUUGGCCACUUGAGUCUAUCACCCAUAGACAUUCAUAGAAACCAACGAGUCGAACCAGGAAAACACAUGCUCGCUUAGGUAAUAUUCAUCAUUCCUAUGCAACUUCCUGUGACGAAGAGAAGAGCAUUCGUUAGCUUCGCUAAACACAACACCAUUAAAAUGUAUUACAAACCACACAAACCACAGCAAACAUUGGGAACCGAUAAACGCAUAACCUGGACCUACACAGGUCCUGAAUCUCAAAUCCACGACCGCACACUUGGUAACUCCAAAGCGCACUAUUGGAACUUAUAUCAGCCUGCCAAGCACUACAACAAGAGGAGCGGAAAGCCACCAAAUUCGCGUUUGGGUUGCGUCUUACACCACCCUAAUAACCAACACAGGCAAGAAAACGGGUCGAGUAUUGCAACUGAAAAACACUAGAGAAAAUGGUAAGGGGCCUCAUCCAACAGGUGCCAGAAAGAAGUAGGUAGUAAUCGAAAGAAAUCAAAAUCUGACAAGCCAUCAUAAAAAAUCUUGCAUUCUCGCUGCUACAUGAUCCCCUUCAUCUGAACAGGAUAACUGUCAAGUUAGACAAGCCAAGAUGUUUUCGGCUAAACUAGCCGGGUGUUCUAUUUUAAGUGGAGAACCUACUUCAAAACUAACCUAAAUCUACUACAGAGGCUUCGGCCACCUUUAUGUUUGGAGACUACCACCUUUCAUUAUAGAAGGAUUUUGACGAUCCUUAGAAGGGAGAUAAGGUGAUGAGUUUUUUAGUGAAAAGUCUGCUCUAAAAAGACAAGAAAGAUAUCCAACGAAGGAACGCGUCUACCUAAUAAGACAAUAAUGCAAAACAGACGAAAACAUUUCAUCAAUGAGAGCGCGGACGUAGCAACCUUUAUUGCGCAUGGAAACAUACUACAACUAAGACAAAAACUAUUAACAGUCAGACUAAGUAACACACCAACAAAGUCCAAAACCAAUCAAGUUGCUAAAAUUAUUUCUUAGUGAUGGGGAAUCAAUGGUCAACCGGCCUUCAAUCACAAACAAGCCUCUGUUAUCAAGGAGGAGCCAACCGUUGGACAUGAAGGUCAAGGGAAGCUAGGGAAAAGGCGAGUGACAGAUCAAAGACUUUCACAGCUUCUUUGUUUAGCUCCUGGGUUCAGGAACUCAGACAUGAAGUAGGGUGUUGCCAAAAGUGGGAACCCUCUACACUAAGACACCCCCGCACCAACGACAACGUCCAAAUCUGGUGCUAGAUUCCCAUGCAUCACACAGUGUGUGAGCAUCAAGGAUACUCAACUAGAAACGGAGACACGAGAUGGGCAUAUCUCUUGUUAUCCACGCUCCAUUUGCCUUUCUAUCAACAGGCUUCCUGCUUGCGGACAAAAAAAACUAAUCAAACACGUUGAGCCUUCUUAAGUGAGACUUAUCAGACAUGCCGCCAAGCGCAAUUAGGCCAGGUUCUUCACCAGAUCUAAUGAGAAUAGUAUGAGGUUAGACUCUCACAAGAACAUAAGCACAGCAAAGCAAAGCAAAGUUUUCAGCAACUAAGACGACUAAUCUUAAUCAAAUAAACAACAUGAUAUUAUUUAUCAACAGCCAAAGUCAAUAACAGACAUAUGAAUGAAUACCAAUCAACCAACACAACAAUUCACAGUUGUUGGCAAAGCACAAUACUCAAAGCAAAGUAGUAGCACCUACAAAAGUCAAACCAUAGUUAGUGUCCCAGAUAAGCCAAAUAAACAAAACUAAUGCAACUUAAUUAUCUCCUUUAAAUGUCAUGGGCUCUUUUAACCUUGAAAAAACAACUCAAUGGAGAAUAAGACCACUAGACAACAGCUAGUGUCAAAAAGUGAAAAACCAAUAACCGCAAUUGAAAUGAGUAAAACAGAUUACAAACAAGAGAGAAAUUCUUAAUUGGUCUCACAUUCAAAAACUAUGCACCAAAUCCCAUUCAUUUACACUAAACAUUUCAAACUAAUGCAUUGGAAUUCAUAUUUGGCCGCAAACAGAAGAUCACAAUAUAAACCAAUUACCAAAAAGCCAAUUAAAUUCCCCAUAAAAUUCAAGCUUAAACAGAAACAUACCUGAACGAUCAACAUACACAAAUUCAUGCUAUUGGAUCCAAUGGAUAUAGAAAUUAAAAUCACAAAUCCAGGGAUCAAAAACCCCACCCAAAGCAUCAAAUCAAAAUCUUCCAACUUAGCAAUUUAAACAAAUUGCAUGAGGAAAUAACCAACAAGCCAAAGCCAAAAGACGCAAGCAGUAAAACAAUCCAUACAGUUUCAUUAGCUCAUAUAAAAGGCAGCAGAAAAUUCACAAGUCAGAAAGUGGAACACCCACAAAAGCAAAAAGUGCAACAGCCAAGAACAAUCCCACCAAAUAGAAAGAAUCAAAAAAUUCUACAGAAUAAAUCAUGCCACACUAACCUAAAGAAGCAAAACAUCAAAAACGCAGGAGCACUGGCAUAGCAAAGCAUGGCAAAAAAUUACAACAAGCCAGGACAAAACCAUUAAUAUCAUUGUCACAUCCAGAAGACUCACAUCAAUCUCUCAUCCAGAAAUGCAAAAUAGCAAACCAAUACAAAAAUCAUCAGAAUAAGCCUAGAUCAGCAUAUAAUAAAUUCAAGCAUUGGACAAGCACAAGAUUCAAUGAAUGAAAUGGCAAAAACAAGGCAAACAAGCAUACAACCAAUAGAUAGUAGACCAAAAAAAACAUCCCGUCCACGAACUCUGUACGAUCUCACGUAAAAAACUAGAUGAAAGAAAGAUCAAAACCCCACAUGACAACCAGAAAACUCAUAUUGUGAAUUAUGAAAAAAUGAAAUAAACAUUAACAGAAAUAAAAAUUAAUAAUGCUGACGGCAUUUUGGUAACAGGACCUCACUUUAAUGAAUCUGGCGAUCAUUGAAGUGAUUGUCAUCCACGUGACGCAGCAUGCCGGGAAACAACAAUUUGAACGCAAGCCGAGCACCUAAGAUCAACAAGACAGCAAACUAACGAAAAGGGCACGCGCGUUUCUUAUAUUCACACAUCAGACAAAGUUCACAAAACUACCAUGCAAUAAACCACGAGAACCCAAUGCAUGCAAAACAUCAAUCCAGCAAGCAUAACUAAAUCUAUCAGCAAACAGAUGAGCAAAUAAGCACACAAGAGUCACGACCACAAUAACUCAUCAAUAGCCAAUGAAAAAUCUCAUACAAGGACAGGUAACCUAUGUCCACUAUCACCUAAGCCACAUCACGACAAAAUCGAAGGAUUUGAUCUUACCUCAGACAACAUGCGAAAGAGCCCUCCUAAGCUCCAAUGAAAGCUAGACUGACAGGAUGAUCAGAAAUAAUAAAGAAGCGUCAGCUCAGAAAUGCUCAAUGAUGAGAAUCUCAACAGCCAGGACCAAAGGCAACAUUAAGAUCUCAGCUUCCAGCAGCUCAAACAGAUCUCAAACCCACCUGUAAUACAACACACAAGAGAAAAACAGAAAAGCGAGAACUUGAAACAAUGCAAAAAAGUGGAGAAAAGUAGAAAAUUGAGAGGAUUUGAGAAUUGUGUUGAUCUGAAUUGGAAUGGACCACAAUCAGUAUGAUUACUCUAUACCCUCGUUAAUUCCACACUAAACAGAUUAAACACAAACGGCAAGGAUGUGAAAAAGCUGAUAAGCAAAAUGCCCUUUUGAUGACGCACGCCAAUGAAGUGAAAAUGUGACAGCAACCACAAUCAUGUUAGAAGCUAUCCAAUGAUUGCAGAAAAUCCAUGUAUUUGAAAAAUCGUAUUUCGCCACCACGCCAAAAUUAAUGUUCACUGAAAAAUGACCUUAGGAGCCUGAGAAAUAAAGACACAUGAAACAUACAGUCCAAGACUGCUCAAAAAAGAUCACCCAAUGCCAAAUGAUGAUAUGCCUUGAAUCAACUCGAAAAGAAAAUGAUUUGAUCAUAACUUGCCAACCACACAUGAGAAAUGCCUGUUCUUGGACUUUUUGGAAAGGUGAGAACAAGAUCUUCAACUUUCAUGUUGGACAAAAUUCCAUUUGAAGCUUGUAUGAUGAAGUAAGUUUGAGGAGAAGAACUUUCCAUUUUUGGCAGUUUCCAAUUACAGGUCACCUGCUAUUUUUGGAAACUUUUGAUCUGACUUUAUUUUCUUCAACCUUGAUCUUUGAAAUGUCAAAUGAGACUAGUAUGGACAUGAAUGAAGCCUUUCAAACCAACUCCCACCUUCAAAUCCUUGAUUUCUGGCACAGUUGACCAUAGUUGACCACAAUUGACUUUCUAGGGUUUCUGAUGAAAUCCAACUUGACUGUUGAGCUCUGAUCAUCCAAUCUUUGGCCAAACCACUUCAAAAUGAUCACAUAAUCAUAUGAACUUGAUAAACCAACCCUAGGGCUUUGUCUCAAUGGAAAUUGCACUUGCUUGCUUGAUUGACUAAUUCUCCUGAUCAGUUAACCUAAUCUGUCUGAAUGACUUGCACUUGGGCAAAAGGCAAUGCAAUGUUAUGCAAUGGACUAUGUCAUGUUAAUGAUCUAAUGAUGAAAAUGUAUGUACAAUGGGAGGUGCAAAUUCGAGGUGCUACAACAUGGAUUAUAGAUCUAACUAGUUGGACACAACCCAUUAUAUAAAGAAGAUGUCCUUUCAAGUUAUAACACUUUGUGUUGUUACAAGGGAUUGGAAGUAUUUUGUAGGUCACGUAUGAAGCAAGAUUUCUUGUUAAGAUGCGAGAAAUUAUGCCUCGAGUGGUUCCUGAUGCAUUAGUGGAAAGCAAUAUAUUCCUACAUUAUAUGAGUCGUCAUCUCUUGAGUUGUUUACUAGGAACACAAGUUUUAAUGGACUGUAUCUCGCACUUUUGAAAUUGGUUUCCAUUUUAGUCCAAUCAAAGAUAAUAUUAGUUAAACAGGUGUUUAUUUGAAAAAUAUUUUUCCUAAAUCUAUUUUAGCAAGAUUGGAAUGAUUAGUCAUAUCAGAUUUAGAUUUAACAAUGAAUUUUAUAAAUUUUCGCGAAAUUGCACUGAAAAAUUGUGAAUUAACUCAACAAAUUAAAACAUAUUUAUUUUCAUGUUAAAAUAAACAAAUAGUUAACAUAACAAUUGAUAGGUAAAACUAACCGGUUAAACAAAUGUGUACGGAUUUAUAGGUAAAAAAUAAUCUUCAGAAAAUACUUAAAUGUUAAUAAUGUACAAACUUUUUAUUUAUCAUUAUUAGCAUUGUUUUAUAUGUUGACUGACUACUAAUACUUUAUUUAUUUUUUUGGACCUAAAACUAAAACAAAUAAAUAUUAUAUAAUUUAUUAAUACUUUAUGUUGACUGAAUAUUAUUAUUUAUUUGAGUAACUACUAAUAUUAAAUAGUGUGGUUUUAUAUUUUGAUAGAAUAAGUGUACCUCAUUGAAGUAGUAAUACUAUUAAAUAUUACAAGAAAUAAAGUAUCUUAUAUAAAUAACUACUUCAAAUCAAAAUGGCUUAAAUAGUCUUUUCGUUCUUAUAAGUUAGCGUGUUCUUUUUUUAGUCUCUAAAUUUUUUUGUGUAAAAAUAUUCUCUAAAUUAGGGAUGCUCAAAUUAACUCGUUAUUUAAAUUAUCCAUAUCUAUAUUCAAAUUUGGUUAUUAAACCCCGGUUAAUUAUUAGUAUAGUUUUAAACAAUUUGAGAUUUUGGAUAUGUUAUUAAUAUGAUUUUAACCAAAUCCAUAUUGUGUACAUCCAUAUCCACAAUAAAAAUCAAAUUAGUCUAUCUUUUUUUUAUAAAAAUAAUUACAAAAACACUUUUUAUUUCUUCUGAAAAUAAAAAAUAAAUAUUUAUUUUUUAAUUCUUAAAAAAUAGUUUUUUUUCUUCAAGAAAAAAAUAGUUUUUAAAAAAAUAUAUAAAAAAAAAUUUAAAUAUCUUUUUCAAAAACAAAUUUUGUUUUUGAGAAUAAACAUUUUUUAGUAAAAAAAUAGAUUUAAAUUUUCUUUUAAUAAUAAAAAUCUAUUAUAAAUUGGUUAUGGAUAUAACCGGUUAAUGAUUGGCUUAUAACCAUUUUACAAAAAUGAUAUCACUCAUGACAAUUGGGUUUAAUGACUGGUUAUAAUAUAUGAAUUAUUCAUGGUUAUGGAUUGGUUUUGAAACUUAAUCGUCCAUGAGCAUCCCUACUCUGAAUGUGAAAUCUUUUUGGUGUUUGUCCUUAAAAUUAAAAACCAAAGGGAAAUCAACAGGUUUUGUGCGGAAUUUCCUUCGAGUUUUUUUACAGAAUAAAAAUUUGCAGGUUUCCUGCAGAUUUUUACUUUAGUGACUAAAACAAUUUGAAUAGAAGCUUCCAAAGGACACUAGUAAUAUAAGUUUGUGCUCGAAUGUAAAGUACAGAGUCACUUUCAAGAUAAAGUUGUAUUUGUACACUCAUAGAAGUAUGCUUUAUAGAUAGAAUGACAAUUGUAAGUUCUAUUUUAAAAGAUGAAUUGAUUACUAUAUUUGCUAAGAAUGCACCUAAGUGCCUUACAAUCACGAAAAAGUCAUGUACAUGUUGUUAUUCCCUAAUCCCUCGAUACGACAACAUUUGUGUUAAUUUUAACGCAUUGAGGGUAGGGAUACUUCUCGUUGACUUGAAUAAUGCAUGGUGAAGGGGGGGGGAUUUCUAUUAAUGUAUUUCUACUAUAUUCAUGCAUCGGAUGCGUACAUGUGUUCUUGAGAGAGAGGUACUUACAUUGUGAAUCCAAUAUUUCUUGUCUCUAAGUUCCUUACCAAGGUUAGUUUGUGCGUUAUUGAAUCUAACUUCAUUUCUUGGGUUCCAUGUAAUCCAAGUGAUUAAGUUAAUGACUACAAUAAUAAUAUUAUUGAUUUUUUGACUUCAUCCUCAAUUAAUUAUGUUGUAUAGGCUCAUAUAGGUGGUAUACUCAAUUUCAAGCAUAAUAAGGAUUCUAACCAUGUCCAAAAUUGCAAUGUGUGUCUGCAAUUUAAGAAGAGAUGGUGAGGAGUUUCCAAGGCUUUAGUAUGGAGGGAACAUUUACAAACAAAUGUAACUCUUCUCUUUCAAAGAUUAUCGUAUUUGGAAAACAAGUUAUGCACUAGUUUCCAAAAAGUCAAAUACUUUUCAGGUGCAAUGAACUUUUUCCAUGUUUUUGGCCUAACUAACUUCUAUAUCAUCAGUAUUAUGGCAUGCAUACGCCUCUAUAAAUGUAAGAGUUACAUUGCUUUAGAUUUUCCAAAUUAUAUUGAUUGCAUCAAUUUCACAAUAAUGUAUAAUGAUUUUAUGAAUAUAAUAGUUAUCUAGGAUACAAAUAUGAUGAAAUUCAUAUAAAUGUUCCUAAUAGUUCCUUGAGUUAGCUCUAGGGUAGUAGUAGUUUGCAGAUACUUAAUUUUUUAUGAAAGGGCAAUAGAGUAUUUGAUUUUACAACUUAACUAUAUAUCAUUCAAAAAACAAUUUUUUUCCAUUCUCUAUUUACCACUUCAUAUGAUCUUCAAUAUCCUUCAAAGCAUUCUUUAAACCAAACCAUAUUUAGGAGCUUAUUUGAUCCUUAACAGGUUGUUAGUUCUUGAGAUAUCUGCAUCUAAGGGUAUUUGAUAUUUUUUGUGGGCUGUGAUCAUUUUCCAUCUAUGAGUGACUCGUCCUUUUUCAUUUAAGCUCUUGAUUUUUUGCAUACCAAGACCACCAAGAGAGAUAUGUGUGCAAACUUUCUCCCACGAGAAAAUGACAAGUAUUAUUGUGUCAGCAUUUCAUGUCCAUACAAAGUUUCCAAUGCAAGAUUCCAAUCUAUCCAAAAUGGACAUUACCCACUCAUAUGUUAUGACGUUAUAAACUUACAUUACAUGGCUUCUAGAUCUAACUAAUUGGACACAACCCAUUAUAUAAAGAAGAUGUUCUUUCAAGGUAUAACACUUUGUGUUGUUACAACGAAUUGGAAGUAUUUUGUAGGCAACGUAUGAAGCAAGAUUUCUUGUUAAGAUGCGAGAAAUUAUGUCUCGAAGUGGUUCCUGAUGCAUUUGUGUAAAGCAACAUAUUCCUACAUUAUAUGAGUCGUCAUCUCUUGAGUUGUUUACUAGGAACACAUGCUUUAAUGGAGUGUAUCUCGCACUUUUGAAAUUGGUUUCCAUUUUAGUCCAAUCAAAGAUAAGAUUAGUUAAACAGGUGUUUAUUUGAAAAAUAUUUUUCCUGAAUCUAUUUUAGCAAGAUUGGAAUUAUUAGUCACAUCAGAUUUAGAUUUAACUGAAUUGGUUCAAUCAAAAUUGAAGAGCAACUUUAUAAAUAUUGAUAUUUUUUAGCUAAUUUGUUUUAUAGAGUGAACCUUAUUAUGUAAGAGAGAAUAUGUAUUUUUUAACAAUGAAUUUUAUAAAUUUUUGCCAAAUUGCACUGAAAAAUUGUGAAUUAACUCAUCAAAUUAAAACAUAUUUAUUUUCAUGUUAAAAUAAACAAAUAGUUAACAUAACAAUUGAUCAAUCAUUCAAAAUACCUUGUCUUUUUUUCAUAACUAAGUAUAAGAAGUUGAACGAUCAUCUCAAAGUAGUAUAUGAAACAUUUCAGAAAUAUAUUUCAAUAACCAAUCUUAUUAAUAUAAUUAUUAUAAAUGAGAUGAAUGUUUCUCAAGUAUAAAAUGAUCGGUGUAAAUGUAAUACAACAUAAUCAAAGUUUUAACGCUUCAGAUUACUAGAUGGAGGGGUGCAACAUGGGGCCUUCUUACAAACAUAUGGGUCACAUGGCCCUAAUGGUUCACAGCAAGGUGGUAAAUCUUGUAAGUGCACUGCAAGAGCACUUUUCAUACCAACAAGAAGCACCAAAAACAACAAGAAAAAUUUCAAUAAAGAUUCCAUGAUAACUUAAUUUUGAUUUCAAAGAAAUGAAAAAUGGAUACUAAUAGUGAAUGAUAUGUUAAACAAAUGUGUACAGAUUUAUAGGUAAAAAAUAAUCUUUAGAAAAUACUUAA